rnacentral:tRNA from 1 species
UCUGGUGGCUCAGAUGGUAGAGAAUCUGCCUGCAAUGCAGGAGACCUGGGUUCAAACCCUGGGUCUGGAA